rnacentral:tRNA from 1 species
GGAAAAAUGGCUGAGUGGUUUAAAGCGAAGAUUUGCUAAAUCUUUAUAUAUAUUAAAACUAUAUAUCGUAGGUUCGAAUCCUUCUUUUUCCA